rnacentral:rRNA from 1 species
CAGCCGCCGCGGUAAUACGGAGGGUGCAAGCAUUAAUCGGAUUCAUUGGGUGUAAAGAGCAUGUAGGCGGGUAAGUAAGUCAGAUGUGAAAUUUCGGAGCUCAACUUCGAAGCUGCAUUUGAAACUACUUAUCUUGAGGGUAGACGGAGAAAACGGAAUUCCAAGUGUAGCGGUGAAAUGCGUAGAUAUUUGGAAGAACACCGGUGGCGAAAGCGGUUUUCUAGUUUAUUUCUGACGCUGAGAUGCGAGAGCAAGGGGAGCAAACAGGAUUAGAUACCCUGGUAGUCCUUGCCGUAAACGAUGCAUACUUGGUGUAGUUGGACUCAACCCCGACUGUGCCGUAGCUAACGCGUUAAGUAUGCCACCUGGGGAGUACGCCCGCAAGGGUGAAACUCAAAAGAAUUGACGGGGGCCCGCACAAGCAGUGGUGCAUGUGGUUUAAUUCGAUGCAACGCGAAGAACCUUACCCAGGCUUGACAUAUAGAGGACCGCACUAGAGAUAGUGUUUCCCGCAAGGGCCUUUAUACAGGUGCUGCAUGGCUGUCGUCAGCUCGUGCCGUGAGGUGUUGGGUUAAGUCCCGCAACGAGCGCAACCCUUGUCGUUAGUUACCAACACGUAAUGGUGGGGACUCUAACGAGACUGCCUAGGUUAACUAGGAGGAAGGUGAGGAUGACGUCAAGUCCGCAUGGCCUUUAUGUCUGGGGCUACACACGUGCUACAAUGGUCGGUACAGAAGGCAGCGAAGCCGAAAGGUGGAGCAAAUCCCCAAAGCCGAUCCCAGUUCGGAUAGAAGUCUGCAACUCGACUUCUUGAAGUUGGAAUUGCUAGUAAUGACGUGUCAGCAAUAACGUCGUGAAUACGUUCCCGGGCCUUGUACACACCGCCCGU